GGGGUAACCUGCCCGCGGGUGGGGGGAUAAACCCUCCUAAAGGAGGGCUAAUACCGCAUAACAUCUCGAGCUCUUCGGCGCACGAGAUCAAAGCUUGCCUCUUCUUGAAAGCAAGCACCUGUGGAGGGGCCCGCGCCCCAUUAGCUUGUUGGUGAGGUAACGGCUCACCAAGGCCGCGAUGGGUAGCCGACCUGAGAGGGUGAUCGGCCACACUGGAACUGAGACACGGUCCAG
rnacentral:rRNA from 1 species